UGGUAGUCCACGCCNUAAACGAUGUCGAUUAGCUGUUGGGCAGCAUGACUGCUUAGUAGCGAAGCUAACGCGUGAAAUCGACCGCCUGGGGAGUACGGUCGCAAGAUUAAAACUCAAAGGAAUUGACGGGGACCCGCACAAGCGGUGGAUGAUGUGGAUUAAUUCGAUGCAACGCGAAGAACCUUACCUGGUCUUGACAUGUACGGAACCCUCCAGAGACGGAGGAGUGCCUUCGGGAGCCGUAACACAGGUGCUGCAUGGCUGUCGUCAGCUCGUGUCGUGAGAUGUUGGGUUAAGUCCCGCAACGAGCGCAACCCUUGUCAUUAGUUGCCAUCAUUAAGUUGGGCACUCUAAUGAGACUGCCGGUGACAAGCCGGAGGAAGGUGGGGAUGACGUCAAGUCCUCAUGGCCCUUAUGACCAGGGCUUCACACGUCAUACAAUGGUCGGUACAGAGGGUAGCCAAGCCGUGAGGCGGAGCCAAUCUCACAAAACCGAUCGUAGUCCGGAUUGCACUCUGCAACUCGAGUGCAUGAAGUCGGAAUCGCUAGUAAUCGCAGGUCAGCAUACUGCGGUGAAUACGUUCCCGGGUCUUGU
rnacentral:rRNA from 1 species